UACGUAGGGUCCGAGCGUUGUCCGGAAUUAUUGGGCGUAAAGGGCUCGUAGGCGGUCUGUUGCGUCGGGAGUGAAAACUUACAGCUUAACUGUGAGCGUGCUUUCGAUACGGGCAGACUUGAGGCAUUCAGGGGAGAACGGAAUUCCUGGUGUAGCGGUGAAAUACGUAGAUAUCUGGAGGAACUCCGGUGGCGAAGGCGGCCAUCUGGCCCAACAUUGACGCUGAGACCCGAAAGCGCUGGG
rnacentral:rRNA from 1 species